GGGUGCGAUCAUACCUGCAUUAAUGCUCCGGAUCCCAUCGAGACUCCACAGUUAAGCGUGCUUGGGCUAGAGUAGUACUCGGAUGGGUGACCUCCAAGAAAGUCCUAGUGUUGCACCCU
rfam:Picea glauca, whole genome shotgun sequence.